rnacentral:rRNA from 1 species
AUUGAACGCUGGCGGCAUGCCUUACACAUGCAAGUCGAACGGCAGCACGGGUGCUUGCACCUGGUGGCGAGUGGCGAACGGGUGAGUAAUAUAUCGGAACGUACCUUAUUGUGGGGGAUAACGCAGCGAAAGCUGUGCUAAUACCGCAUAAUCCCUAAGGGGGAAAGCGGGGGACCGUAAGGCCUCGCGCAAUUAGAGCGGCCGAUACCUGAUUAGCUAGUUGGUGAGGUAAAGGCUCACCAAGGCAACGAUCAGUAGCUGGUCUGAGAGGACGAUCAGCCACACUGGGAAUGAGACACGGCCCAGACUCCUACGGGAGGCAGCAGUGGGGAAUUUUGGACGAUGGGGGCAACCCUGAUCCAGCAAUGCCGCGUGAGUGAAGAAGGCCUUCGGGUUGUAAAGCUCUUUUGUCAGGGAAGAAACAGCAGCUCUAACACAGUAUGCGAAUGACGGUACCUGAAGAAUAAGCACCGGCUAACUACGUGCCAGCCGCCGUAAAAC